rnacentral:rRNA from 1 species
UACGUAGGGGGCAAGCGUUGUCCGGAUUUAUUGGGCGUAAAGAGCGUGUAGGCGGUUUGGUAGGUCCGUUGUGAAAACUCGAGGCUCAACCUCGAGACGCCGAUGGAAACCAUCAGACUAGAGUCCGGAAGAGGAGAGUGGAAUUCCUGGUGUAGCGGUGAAAUGCGCAGAUAUCAGGAGGAACACCCGUGGCGAAAGCGGCUCUCUGGGACGGUACUGACGCUGAGACGCGAAAGCGUGGGGAGCAAACAGG